ACACACAGGGCCGGAGUGGGGCCACUUUUCAGCCUGGGAGUUUCAGGUCCAAAACCGGCCCACUUUUUCCAUGGUGGUGGAAAUUGGAUAAAUAAAACAGCAGUU